GCACAGUGCUGGUGCAGUGGGUAGCACUGUCGCCUCACAGCAAGAAGGUCAUGGGUUCGAAUCCCAGCCUGGGCC
rnacentral:tRNA from 1 species